rnacentral:rRNA from 1 species
GACGAACGCUGGCGGCGUGCUUAACACAUGCAAGUCGGACGAUGAAGCCUAGCUUGCUAGGUGGAUUAGUGGCGAACGGGUGAGUAAUACGUGAGUGACCUACCUUUGACUCUGGGAUAAGCCUGGGAAACUGGGUCUAAUACCGGAUACGACCAAUCUCCGCAUGGGGUGUUGGUGGAAAGCGUUAUGGAGUGGUUUUAGAUGGGCUCACGGCCUAUCAGCUUGUUGGUGAGGUAAUGGCUUACCAAGGCGACGACGGGUAGCCGGCCUGAGAGGGUGACCGGCCACACUGGGACUGAGACACGGCCCAGACUCCUACGGGAGGCAGCAGUGGGGAAUAUUGCACAAUGGGCGCAAGCCUGAUGCAGCGACGCCGCGUGAGGGAUGACGGCCUUCGGGUUGUAAACCUCUGUUAGCAUCGAAGAAGCGAAAGUGACGGUAGGUGCAGAGAAAGCGCCGGCUAACUACGUG